AUCGAUAACGAACGAGACCUUUACCUGCUAAAUAGUCGACUCGGCCUAGGCCGGGACCUUUUUGGUUACGACUUCUUAGAGGGACUGGAGGCUCCAAGCCUCAGGAAGCUGGGGGCAAUAACAGGUCUGUGAUGCCCUUAGAUGUUCUGGGCCGCACGCGCGCUACACUGAUAAAGUCAGCGAGUUUUAUUCUUUGAAUAGUCCUUGGCCGGAAGGCCUGGGCAAUCUUGUUAAACUUUAUCGUGCUGGGGAUAGAGCAUUGCAAUUAUUGCUCUUCAACGAGGAAUUCCUAGUAGUCGUAAUUCAUCAGAUUGCGACGAUUACGUCCCUGCCCUUUGUACACACCGCCCGUCGCUAGUACCGAUUGAAUGGAUU
rnacentral:rRNA from 1 species